UACGGGGGGGAGCAAGCGUUGUUCGGAAUUACUGGGCGUAAAGGGCUCGUAGGCGGCCAACUAAGUCGGACGUGAAAUCCCCAGGCUCAACCUGGGAACUGCGUCCGAUACUGGAUGGCUUGAAUCCGGGAGAGGGAUGCAGAAUUCCAGGUGUAGCGGUGAAAUGCGUAGAUAUCUGGAGGAACACCGGUGGCGAAGGCGGCAUCCUGGACCAACACUGACGCUGAGGAGCGAAAGCCAGGGGAGCAAACGGG
rnacentral:rRNA from 1 species